rnacentral:rRNA from 1 species
UACGUAGGUUCCGAGCGUUAUCCGGAUUUACUGGGCGUAAAGCGCGUUCAGGCGGUUUGACAAGUCGGGCAUGAAAUCUCUCGGCUCAACCGGGAGAGGUUGUCCGAUACUGUCAGACUUGAGGGCAGUAGAGGGUGGUGGAAUUCCGGGUGUAGUGGUGAAAUGCGCAGAUAUCGGGAGGAACACCGGUGGCGAAGGCGGUUCUCUGGGCCUUACCUGACGCUGAGGAGCGAAAGCGUGGGGAGCGAACAGG